CUAAUAUGGCAGAUUAGUGCAAUGGAUUUAAGCUCCAUAAAUAAAGUUUUACUUUUUUUAGAAA
rnacentral:tRNA from 1 species